rnacentral:lncRNA from 1 species
AUGCAUCGGCCUCCCCAGGUGCUGCCUCCAAGCAUCUCAGAGGGCAAGAUAGUUACUCUUCUCACCAUCCUCUCUCCAGGAGAACUAUCUUCAGGCUUAUCUUCCCACUCUGCAAAGUGGGACAAAGUCCUCAGCUCUAGGCCUGCUUUCUGUCUUCCUGGCUGUGCUAGCGUUAGGCAUGGCACGUCAGGGCCCACGCGGCCCUGUGGAUGUUACUGCAGUGACACCAAUCCACAGAGGGUGUUCAGCCUUCCCUCCAGCGUGUGGCAAAAUGACCUGUGUUUGGAUGUGUGCAUGCCUGUGUGCUCACCAAAUGCACUGGGAAGAAAUGUUGAAUGGAUUUUUUUUCUGUUUCGAAGAGAGAUGGGCAGCACGGAUGUACCUAUGAAAGAGAGGGCAAAGCAGACACAGGAUGUGUGCUGA